rnacentral:rRNA from 1 species
UACGUAGGGUGCAAGCGUUGUCCGGAAUUAUUGGGCGUAAAGAGCUCGUAGGCGGCUUGUCGCGUCGGCUGUGAAAACCUGGGGCUCAACCCCGGGCCUGCUUCCGAUACGGGCAGACUAGAGGUAUGCAGGGGAGAAUGGAAUUCCUGGUGUAGCGGUGAAAUGCGCAGAUAUCAGGAGGAACACCGGUGGCGAAGGCGGUUCUCUGGGCAUUACCUGACGCUGAGGAGCGAAAGUGUGGGGAGCGAACAGG